rnacentral:misc_RNA from 1 species
ACGGGCACAACAGCUGGGGAGAGGCGUGUGCGAAGCGUCGGUUGAAGGAGCAAGGUCUUUAUACCGCCUCUCUGCUGAAAGCGUGCGUUGUUGUGCACGUUAACUGUUACUGCUGUUUUCUUACCUGCCGAAUUUUCGUAGUCUUUCGGCCGCAUUCCCAUCUUCGUCUUCUUCCGUUUCCCGGUGUUUUUUUGAAGCAAGCCACCGCGACAUCAAUUCGACGCAAUGGAACGUGACAAGGCAUCCGACCAGCUCAAGGAAUACAAGGAGACACACAAGCCGGAGCCCCUGACCACCUCGUGGGGUGCCCCCGUCUCUGACAAGACCAAUGUGCUCACCGCUGGACCCCGAGGUCCCGUGCUGCUCCAAGAUGUCGUCUUCCUGGACGAAAUGGCGCACUUCGACAGGGAGCGCAUUCCAGAGCGUGUCGUCCACGCCAAGGGAGCUGGAGCGUUCGGCUACUUCGAGGUGACCCACGACAUCACCAAGUACACCAAGGCCUCCAUCUUCAGCCAGAUUGGCAAGAGGACUCCCAUGGCUGUGCGCUUCUCCACCGUUGGUGGAGAGAGUGGCUCGGCAGACACUGUCCGUGACCCUCGUGGCUUCGCUGUCAAGUUCUACACCGACGAAGGCAACUGGGAUUUGGUGGGCAACAACACUCCCAUCUUCUUCAUCCGGGACCCGUUCUUCUUCCCGAGCUUCAUUCACACGCAGAAGCGGAACCCAGCCACCCAUCUGAAGGAUGCUGACAUGUUCUGGGACUUCAUCAGCCUUCGCCCAGAGACCACGCAUCAGGUGAUGUUCCUCUUCUCUGACCGUGGUAUCCCUGACGGCUACAGGCACAUGAACGGCUACGGCUCGCACACCUUCAAGCUCGUGAACGCCAAGGGUGAAGCAUUCUACUGCAAGUUCCACUACAAGACUGACCAGAAAAUCAAGAACCUGCCAGUGGAGAAGGCCGAUGAGUAUGCUUCCAAGGACCCUGACUACUCCAUUCGCGACCUGUACAAUGCCAUUGCCAACAAGCAGUACCCGUCUUGGACCUUCUACAUCCAAGUCAUGACCUUUGAGCAGGCAAAGACGUGGAAGUACAACCCCUUCGACUUGACCAAGGUGUGGCCUCACGGCGAGUUCCCCCUGAUUCCUGUCGGCAAGAUGGUGCUCGACCGCAACCCCAAGAACUACUUCUCCGAAGUGGAGCAAAUCGCCUUCUGUCCCGCCAACCUUGUGCCGGGCAUUGAGCCAAGUCCCGACAAGAUGCUUCAGGGACGUCUGUUCUCCUACAGCGACACGCACAGACACCGCCUGGGACCCAACUUCCUGCAGAUCCCGGUGAACUGCCCCUACAAGGCACGCAUCGCCAACUACGAGCGCGACGGCUUUAUGACUGUGAAGGAACAAGAUGGAUGCCCCAACUACUUCCCGAACAGCUUCUCCGGUCCGUUGGAUAACCCCAAGCUGAAGGAGCACAAGUUUGAAGUUACCGGAGAUGUUGACCGCUGGAACAGUGCUGACGAGGACAACUUCAGUCAGCCAGGAAACUUCUGGAAGAUUCUGAGUGCCGAGGAGAGAGACCGCCUUACCUCCAACGUCGCCAACCACCUGAAGGACGCUCAGGACUUCAUCCGCCAGCGGGCCGUCACAAACUUCACCAAGGCGCACCCCGAAUGUGGUGGCCAGAUCGCCAAGAAGCUUGAAAAGCUCGUGCAGUCUUCACCAGUGAAGAACGUCUUUCCAACUAAAUUUUUCCCAAAGUAGCGACAACUUCAGACUCGAAUGAAGCAAAGCCAAUAAUUUGACCAAUAUCCAGUUUUUGUAAGAUGCCAAUCAUGUUUUCUUACAUUAAAGCGCUCCUCCAGCAACCUGGCUAGUGCAAAACUCUAAAGACCCAAUCAUCUACUACAUGAACUCUUCACUGGGCAACUUCAUCCUGGGAGACGGUGCAUAUAGGCCUUAAUCUGCUGCCAAUAACUGUUGCUGCUACACCGGUGCUACGUCACGCUACUCACAAGCACCGCUAUUGUGGUGUCCUUUACUUAACUUGUUUGUUAUACUUCUCUUUCUUUCUUGUUGCUGGUCAAUAAACAUUUGUGUUGUUUACACCUUU